rnacentral:rRNA from 1 species
CACGCCGUAAACGAUGAGUACUAGGUGUAGGGGGUAUCGACCCCCCCUGUGCCGCAGUAAACACAAUAAGUACUCCGCCUGGGAAGUACGAUCGCAAGAUUAAAACUCAAAGGAAUUGACGGGGACCCGCACAAGCAGCGGAGCAUGUGGUUUAAUUCGAAGCAACGCGAAGAACCUUACCUGGACUUGACAUCCCCUGAAUUACGCGUAAUGGAGGAAGCCCUUCGGGGCAGGGAGACAGGUGG